rnacentral:rRNA from 1 species
GCGUGGGUGAAGAAGGCCUUAGGGUUGUAAAGCCCUUUCACCGGGGAAGAUAAUGACGGUACCCGGAGAAGAAGCCCCGGCCAACUCCGUGCCAGCAGCCGCGGUAAGACGGAGGGGGCUAGCGUUGUUCGGAAUUACUGGGCGUAAAGCGCGCGUAGGCGGCUCGUCAAGUUGGGGGUGAAAGCCCGGAGCUCAACUCCGGAACGGCCUCCAAAACUGGCGGACUGGAGUACGGGAGAGGAGAGCGGAAUUCCCAGUGUAGAGGUGAAAUUCGU